UGGGACCAGGACCCUGCAUGAAGGAUUAAAUUGGCCUGGUUGAGACACUCCCCUUUUACAGCAUUGUGGGACUGGGCCGAUCCGACAUACUGCUCCUCUGAUAAAGACAAACGAGCUGGACUGCUACAACCCUGAGAAAGAAAAAAAAGGUGUCUAUUUUAGACAGAAGUGCAUCUGUUUCUUGUUUUUGACUAAAUAUAAAUGUAAACAGAAGGUGUUAUUCAUUACCUCCACCUAGGACGUUAUGUUGUUUGUUGGUUUAUUUAUUUGUUAUAAGCAAGAUUACACAAAAACAACAGAGCAUAUUGCCAUGAAACUUGAUGGAACGAUGUGGUAUGUGUCAGGGAAUUUGACAUUGAUAAUGAUAGCCAUGAAAUGUUCACAUCCGGAUCAGGGGGCAGGAAUUUUCUUUCACUUUCUUAAACAUUGUGAGAUAUUGCGGUUUUCAACAUAUUCAACAUUCUCUUGAUUGAAUUUCGACUGUUGGGCCCUGGUGGAGGUACGCACUGUA